rnacentral:rRNA from 1 species
CCCCAGUAACGGCGAGUGAAGCGGCAACAGCUCAAAUUUGAAAUCUGGCCCCCAGGGCCCGAGUUGUAAUUUGCAGAGGAUGCUUUUGGCGAGGUGCCUUCCGAGUUCCCUGGAACGGGACGCCAUAGAGGGUGAGAGCCCCGUCUGGUUGGACACCGAGCCUCUGUAAAGCUCCUUCGACGAGUCGAGUAGUUUGGGAAUGCUGCUCUAAAUGGGAGGUAUAUGUCUUCUAAAGCUAAAUACCGGCCAGAGACCGAUAGCGCACAAGUAGAGUGAUCGAAAGAUGAAAAGCACUUUGAAAAGAGGGUUAAACAGUACGUGAAAUUGUUGAAAGGGAAGCGCUUGUGACCAGACUUGGGCCCGGUGAAUCAUCCAGCGUUCUCGCUGGUGCACUUUGCCGGGCCCAGGCCAGCAUCAGUUUGCCUCGGGGGAUAAAGGCUCUGGGAAUGUGGCUCCUCCGGGAGUGUUAUAGCCCGUUGCAUAAUGCCCUGGGGCGGACUGAGGUUCGCGCAUCUGCAAGGAUGCUGGCGUAAUGGUCAUCAGCGGCCCGUCUUGAAACACGGACCAAGGAGUCGUCUUCGUAUGCGAGUGUUCGGGUGUAAAACCCCUACGCGGAAUGAAAGUGAACGCAGGUGAGAGCUUCGGCGCAUCAUCGACCGAUCCUGAUGUUCUCGGAUGGAUUUGAGUAAGAGCAUACGGGGCCG